GCAUGUUCUGGUUGAGCAUUAUGCAACAACUAACCUAGGAGGACUACAUCUUGAAGAAAAGAGAGAGUUGGAGCGUCUGGAAAAACCCAUGAUUUUUGGAUAUAUGUUAGUUUGUGGUUAAUGUUAAGACAUAAUUUUUGGAUAUAUGUUAGUUUGUGGCUAACGUUAAAACAUGAUUUUUAGAUUUGGAUAUGUUAAUUGUGGGUAAUGGUAUUGGAUAUUAAUUGAAGAGAAAGUGAAUUAAUGCUUCAUUACAA